rnacentral:tRNA from 1 species
GCCUUCAUGGUGUAAUGGUGAGCAUACUCGGCGCGUAUUCGAGAGGUCCAAGGUUCGAGUCCCUGCAAAGGCA